rnacentral:rRNA from 1 species
UACGGAGGGUGCGAGCGUUGUCCGGAAUCAUUGGGCGUAAAGGGCGCGUAGGUGGCGGGACAAGCGUGCGGUGAAAGCUCGGGGCUCAACCCCGGGUCGGCCGUGCGAACUGUUUUGCUUGAGCACUGUAGAGGCAGGCGGAAUUCCGGGUGUAGCGGUGGAAUGCGUAGAGAUCCGGAAGAACACCGGUGGCGAAGGCGGCCUGCUGGGCAGUAGCUGACACUGAGGCGCGACAGCGUGGGGGAGCAAACAGGAUUAGAAUCUCGUAGUC